rnacentral:rRNA from 1 species
AGAGUUUGAUCCUGGCUCAGGAUGAACGCUGACAGAAUGCUUAACACAUGCAAGUCUUUGGCGAAGCUGUGCUUGCACAGCCUAGCCAAGGCGGACGGGUGAGUAACGCGUAAGGAACUUGCCCUGCAGUCAGGGAUAACAGACGGAAACGACUGAUAAGACCUGGUAAAGUCAGGCGGACUCAUGUCCAGCCUGAUGAAAAGAGAUGCUGCAGGAGAGCCUUGCGUCCUAUUAGCUUGUUGGUGGGGUAACGGCCCACCAAGGCGAUGAUAGGUAGCCGGCCUGAGAGGGUGGACGGCCACAAGGGGACUGAGAUACGGCCCUUACUCCUACGGGAGGCAGCAGUGGGGAAUAUUGGACAAUGGGGGCAACCCUGAUCCAGCAAUUCUGUGUGCACGAUGAAGGUUUUCGGAUUGUAAAGUGCUUUCAGCAGGGAAGAAAAAAAUGACGGUACCUGCAGAAGAAGCGACGGCUAAAUACGUGCCAGCAGCCGCGGUAAUACGUAUGUCGCAAGCGUUAUCCGGAAUUAUUGGGCAUAAAGGGCAUCUAGGCGGCCAGAUAAGUCUGGGGUGAAAACUUGCGGCUCAACCGCAAGCCUGCCCUGGAAACUAUGUGGCUAGAGUACUGGAGAGGUGGACGGAACUGCACGAGUAGAGGUGAAAUUCGUAGAUAUGUGCAGGAAUGCCGAUGAUGAAGAUAGUUCACUGGACGGUAACUGACGCUGAAGUGCGAAAGCUAGGGGAGCAAACAGGAUUAGAUACCCUGGUAGUCCUAGCUGUAAACGAUGAUUACUGGGUGUGGGCAUGAAGAGUGUCCGUGCCGAAGCUAAUGCGAUAAGUAAUCCGCCUGGGGAGUACGGCCGCAAGGCUGAAACUCAAAGGAAUUGACGGGGACCCGCACAAGCGGUGGAGCAUGUGGUUUAAUUCGA